rnacentral:lncRNA from 1 species
AUGAGGCCUCUGGAGAUUGGCUUGACUUUCUUGUGGCUCACUCCAAUGGACAGAUUAUCACAACUGCCCAGCCCCAGCCCUGAUGUCUCUGGAAUUUGGCUUGACUUUCCCAUGCCUCCCCCAUCCAGAUUGGCUGCAAGUCUAAUGAAGACCCAAAUGGUAUUGGAUAGGAUAUGUAAGGACCUUCUUCUGGUGGGAGAGACAGAUCCCAGAGGAUCCAGGUACCUGGAGAAGACUGUCCGAACCACUGAGCCAUGUCAUUAGCUGAUUUGAGAAGAAGAUUUGGGAAGGAGAUUUACUCUCCCUUCUUUAUGGGGUCAUGCAGAUUACAUCUCCUGGACUACCUGUUGGGAGCCUGAACUUGACCCAGAGGUGAGAAUUGUGUGAAGGAAAUCAUUGAGUGAAUUGGGUCAUGAGGAUAGAAUGGCAGCUGGAAAAAGGCACCAAUAAAGUCAAGAGAUCAUGAGGAGGGUCA